ACGCAUGGAUCCUCCUUGGAACGACGCCGUUUUAAAGCUUAUUGUUUUAAGCUAAACGACAUCGUUUUAAUAAGGCUAUAUAAGCCAAUUUUUAGCUUAAAAAAUCACUUUUAACCUGGUUUUUUUUUUUUAAAAAAAAGAAAAUCCUCUGAAAGAGGAAUGGGGAAGGGGCUCUCAGCGCUCCGUUGAGCUUCCGUCUCCGACCUUUCACGCGCCCACGCGCCGCCACAUACGAUGGCUCAGAAGGCUAAAAACCUUCUUUCUUCUGGGUAAAACACAGGUUAAUGGCGCAAUCUUCGGCGGUGGGUCAUGAUCCAUGCGCCGAUUGCGGCGUGGCAUGGGAACUGGAACCACAGCGCUGAUGGUGGCUACUGGAACGACGUGAUUCGAAAAGGCGCGUCUUUCGGGAUGAUUGUGGAGCCUAGGGUUUCUGAAACCCUAGGCUUCUCUGUAUUCUGCUAAUAUCUUGGGCCGUUUGGGCUCUGUGUACUUUGGGUUGAGGGUGUAAAUGGGUCUACUGGGUAGUUGGGUUUAUUGGGUUAUUGGUAUUUGGGCUACUGGGUUACAAGUUAUAACCGGUCUGCUAGGUCUAGGUUAAAUGGUUCAAUUAAUUUGGGCUUUUGUAAACUGGACUGUAAUAGACGUUUUAAAUAAAUAAAUAUUUAUUUAUCCAA